UACGUAGGGCGCAAGCGUUGUCCGGAAUUAUUGGGCGUAAAGAGCUCGUAGGCGGCUUGUCACGUCGGGUGUGAAAGCCCGGGGCUUAACCCCGGGUCUGCAUUCGAUACGGGCUAGCUAGAGUGUGGUAGGGGAGAUCGGAAUUCCUGGUGUAGCGGUGAAAUGCGCAGAUAUCAGGAGGAACACCGGUGGCGAAGGCGGAUCUCUGGACGACACCUGACACUGAGGCACGAAAGCUAGGGGAGCAAACAGG
rnacentral:rRNA from 1 species